AGUGAACGCUGGCGGUAGGCCUAACACAUGCAAGUCGAACGGCAGCACAGUAAGAGCUUGCUCUUACGGGUGGCGAGUGGCGGACGGGUGAGGAAUACAUCGGAAUCUACUUUUUCGUGGGGGAUAACGUAGGGAAACUUACGCUAAUACCGCAUACGACCUACGGGUGAAAGCAGGGGAUCUUCGGACCUUGCGCGAUUGAAUGAGCCGAUGUCGGAUUAGCUAGUUGGCGGGGUAAAGGCCCACCAAGGCGACGAGCCGUAGCUGGUCUGAGAGGAUGAUCAGCCACACUGGAACUGAGACACGGUCCAGACUCCUACGGGAGGCAGCAGUGGGGAAUAUUGGACAAUGGGCGCAAGCCUGAUCCAGCCAGACCGCGUGGGUGAAGAAGGCCUUCGGGUUGUAAAGCCCUUUUGUUGGGAAAGAAAAGCAGCAGGUUAAUACCCCGCUGUUCUGACGGUACCCAAAGAAUAAGCACCGGCUAACUUCGUG
rnacentral:rRNA from 1 species